UACGUAGGGGACGAGCGUUGUCCGGAAUUAUUGGGCGUAAAGAGCGCGCAGGCGGUCGGAUAAGUCGAAUGUGAAAGCCCCCGGCUCAACUGGGGAGGGUCAUUCGAUACUGUUCGACUGGAAGGCAGGAGAGGGAAGCGGAAUUCCCGGUGUAGCGGUGAAAUGUGUAGAGAUCGGGAGGAACACCGGUGGCGAAGGCGGGUCUCUGGGCAUUUCCUGACGCUGAGGCGCGAAAGUGUGGGGAGCGAACAGG
rnacentral:rRNA from 1 species